rnacentral:rRNA from 1 species
UACGUAGGGGGCAAGCGUUGUCCGGAAUUAUUGGGCGUAAAGGGCACGCAGGCGGUGGUUUAAGUUUGGUGUUUAAUCCCAGGGCUCAACCCUGGUACGCACUGAAAACUGGAUCACUUGAGUGCAGAAGAGGAGAGUGGAAUUCCACGUGUAGCGGUGAAAUGCGUAGAUAUGUGGAGGAACACCAGUGGCGAAGGCGACUCUCUGGUCUGUAACUGACGCUGAGGUGCGAAAGCGUGGGUAGCAAACAGG